GUGUGAUCCAUGAGGUGUCCAGCCCAGUCCAUGUUUCCUGGAGUGUUUCUGGGGAGCUGCAGGAACAGGGGCUGACGCGCUCAUUGAAAGCAAAGGAUGGAUCUUUAACCCUCAUAAAUCACAUCAGCGUCCCCAUGGACACCUGGACCAGUGGGAAGAAUUUCACCUGUGAAGUCAAAUUCAACUCUUCUGGCAGCAGUGUGAAGAGAAGUACCAGGUAUCCUGCAGCCCAUUCCAACGAGUGUGUGGCGCAGACGCUGCGCUAUGCAGUGGCAAUUUUCUUGGUGGUAUUGAUGGUGUCUCUGAGCCUGGACUGGAGUCAUUGCUGUUCUAAUCCAG
rnacentral:lncRNA from 1 species